UUGCACUGGAUACUAACCAAGAUAUCAAUGCUCUGAUCAACUCUGAUUGGUGUAUGAUAUAUGGUAUCUUGGUCUAAGGAGUGCUAUAAUAAUAAACCGUAAGUGUUUGAGCUCAGUGUGCAGAGUGACUCUCUGGGUUAUGUCUUGCGGAACAAAA